ACGAACGCUGGCGGCGUGCUUAACACCUGCAAGUCGAACGGAAAGGCCCCUUCGGGGGUACUCGAGUGGCGAACGGGUGAGUAACACGUGAGUAACCUGCCCUUGACUUCGGGAUAACUUCAGGAAACUGGGGCUAAUACCGGAUAGGAAUCCUUGCUGCAUGGUGGGGGUUGGAAAGCUUCGGCGGUUUUGGAUGGACUCGCGGCUUAUCAGCUUGUUGGUGGGGUAGUGGCUUACCAAGGCUUUGACGGGUAGCCGGCCUGAGAGGGCGACCGGCCACAUUGGGACUGAGAUACGGCCCAGACUCCUACGGGAGGCAGCAGUGGGGAAUAUUGCACAAUGGGCGGAAGCCUGAUGCAGCAACGCCGCGUGCGGGAUGACGGCCUUCGGGUUGUAAACCGCUUUCAGCAGGGGCGAAGCUUGUGGUGACGGUACCUGCAGAAGAAGCACCGGCUAACUACGUG
rnacentral:rRNA from 1 species